AUGUUAUCAAGAAAGGUGGAGAGAUUAGACUCUGUGAAACCUUGGCAACCCUUCAGAAACGGAGAAGGUGCUACAUUCUAUCCGCCCCGGCGGAACAGAUAACGU
rnacentral:ncRNA from 2 species